rnacentral:rRNA from 1 species
UACGUAGGUGGCAAGCGUUGUCCGGAUUUACUGGGCGUAAAGAGCGCGCAGGCGGUCGUUCAAGUCAUGUGUGAAAUCCCUCGGCUCAACCGGGGAACGACGCAUGAAACUGGCAAGCUAGAGUACCAAAGAGGGGGGUGGAAUUCCCGGUGUAGCGGUGAAAUGCGUAGAUAUGGGGAGGAACACCGGUGGCGAAGGCGGCCAACUGGACGAAUACUGACGCUGAGACUCGAAAGCGUGGGGAGCAAGCAGG